rnacentral:snRNA from 1 species
AUCGCUUCUCGGCCUUUUGGCUAAGAUCAAGUGUAGUAUCUGUUCUUAUCAGUUUGGUAUCUGAUACGUCCUCUAUCCGAGGACAGUGUAUUGAAUGGAUUUUUGGAGCUGGGAGUUGGAAUGUGGAGCUUGCUCCGUCCACUCCACGCAUCAACCUGGUAUUGCAGUACUU